AUUUCAGGGAGUAGCUUAGGAAGAAGUGUUGAUAUUUCAAAACAGAAUAGCAUGAAACAAAAUUGAGAAUGUUAAAAUGUAUCUUUGGUGCCUCUUUUCCCACUCUAUCCAUUCUCCAAGUCCUUAUUAAUAUUUUAAUUCAUGAGACAUAAGCUUUCAAGGCAGUUCUGAAAAGGAAAAGAUCUCAGCUCACUUUUAGCAGUAAUUGGCAUCCACCCAUAUUGGGCAAGAUUGGGAAUUCCUGACAGCUCAGGAUUAGAGCAAUCAUACAUUCAGAGGAUCCUGAGUUUUAAAGUUGGAAUGAAUUUUAGAAGUCAUCUAGUGCAACUUCUUCAUUUUACAGAUGAGGAAAUUAGAGGACAAGAGAUCAAGUCACUUGUACAAGGACACACAGGUGUUGACUAAGACAAGAUUUGAAUUCAGGUCUUCUCCAAAAUCAAUGCUCUUUCCACCUUAACAUACCUGCCUCUGAGUCCUAGAACUAUAGAAUGUCAGCAUUAAGGACCCUCAGAGAUCACUGAAUUUAUUCUCUUCUUUGCAUAUUAGGAAACUGAGGCAAAGAAAAGGGAAAUUUUUUCUAUUUUCUUCACCCAUCACUGUUUUUUUUAAUUCCACUAUAUUUUUUCAAAUAAGAAAAAUAAUUUUCUCUCCCUCUUACCUUUCUCUUACACACACACACACACACACACACACACACACACACCCUUGUAACAAACAAAGCUAAACAAAGCAAAUUCCCACAUUGGUCAAAUCCCCAAAAAAUUAUGUCUUUUGCAUCUUAACUCUAACAUCUCUCUGUUAGAAGGAAAACAAUAUGCUUCAUUCAUUGGUACUCUGGAAUCAUGGUUUGUCAUUGAGAUAAGAGUUCUUCAUGCUAUUUGUCUUCACAAUGUUGUCAUUGCUGACUCUGUGCACUUUGCUCUAUCAGUUUAUAAAAAUCUUCCCAUGUCUUUCCAAAACCAUUCUUUGCAUUAUAUUUUAUAGCACAAUAUAUUCCAUUACAUCCAUAUGCCCUCAUAUAUGUUCAUCCUGAACUGAUAGUCAUUCCCUCAAUUUCUAGUUCCUUCCUCCUGAGGGAAAAAGAUCUGCUGUAAAUAAUUUUGUGCAUUUGGAUACUUUUUCUUUCUCUUUGAUCUCUUUGGGGUAUAGACUCACUGAGUAGUAAGUAGUACUUGAUCAAAGAAUAGUAUGCAAUUCAGUAACUUUGAGGGAUUUUCAAAUUUCUUUCCAGAAAAUGUACAGCUUCAUCAACAAUGUAUUUGUGUGCUUGUCUUCUGAAUCCCUCCUCCCCGCAUAACAACAAUAACAACAACUACCAUAUUCUUUUUAAUCAUUUUUACUAAUCUGAUAGGUAUGAGAUGGAACUUCAGAGUUGCUUUCAUUUGCAUUUCUCUAAUUAUUAGUGAUUUGGAGCAUUCUUAACAACUAUAGAUAGCUUGAAUUUCACUUGAAAACCAUCUGAUUGCAGUGCAUGCAAGAAGGGUAAGGGAGAGGGGGUGCUAUGACCCUGUAUCAAUUAGGGAAUGACUUCUAAUCCCUAAUUACAAGUCACAGAUUGCAAAUGAGAAGGCUUAUUAAAUAUAGCCAAUUCUUGGUUUAUUUAUGCUUAAAUCAGGGAAGAAGCAACAUAGAUAAUCCCAAAGACAUUUAAAAGAUCAGUUCUGGAAGGGACCUUAAAGAUCAACUUAAUUCAAGAUCUUUAUUUUCCUGAGGAGGAAACAAAAUCAACCCGAUGGAAAGUUUAUUAAAUCAGUUUUAGUAUCAGGCAUUUUUCCUGGGCAAACACUGCCCUCUGGUGGCUAUGUCACUGUAGCCAAGACAACACAAAGUAGUCCUUUUAAUCUGUCAAAAAUUUCUUUCCUUCUUUCUCCUCAGGCAUUAGUGAGCCAAAGGUUGCUUUGGUCUUUUAUUCCUUUCUUUUCCUUUCUUUUCUCUUCUUUCCUCCUUUUUGAAUAAGAAGGUUCAUAGAUAAGGGAACCUGGAGUCUGAAGGCUGGAAUAAGGUGGUUCAUUUCUUUUUAGCUUCUCAAAGCAACACUUCAAUGGGGCAAUAGUGCAAAAUUGGAAGUAAGGUCAUACACCUUAGGACUAAAAAGGGACCUUUAAACCCCUUGUUCCUAUCAGGAAAGACAUCCACAUCUUUAUUUUAUUUUUAGUUGUUAUAUUUAUUUUUUUAUUUUUUUCUCAAUUACAUGUAAACGAAAAAUUUUAACAUUCAUUUUUUUAAAAUUUGAAUUCUAUAUUCUCUCCUCCUCCCCCCUUCUUAAAAAGACAAGCAUAGAUUAUACAUGUCCAGUCACGCAAAACAUUUCAAUUUUAUCCAUGAUGCAAAAAAAAUAGAACAAAAAAUAAAAAAUUAAAGUUUAAAAAGUAUGCUUUAAUACCCUUUGAUCAAGCAGUGUCUCUACUGGGCCUGUAUCUCAAAGAAAUCAUAAAGAAAACACAAGGACCCACAAGUGCAAAAAAUGUGUAUAGCAGAUUUUUUGUAGUGGCAAGGAACUGGAAACUGAGUAGAUGCCCAUCAGUUGGGGAAUGGCUGAAUAAAUUGUAGUAUAUGAAUGUUAUGGAAUAAUUAUUGUUCUAUAAGAAACAAUCAGCAGGAUGAUUUCAGAAAGACUUACGUGAACUGAUGCUAAGUGAAGUGAGUAGAACCAGGAGAUCACUGUACACAGCAACAACAAUAUUAUGUGAUGAUCAACUCUGACCAACAUGGCUUUUUUCAACAAUGAGGUGUAGUCCCCUGAGACUUGUUGCCUAUGGGAGAGUGGAAGUAUAGAUGCAGGGAGAAAAUUUUGGAAUGCAAGGUUUUGCAAGGGUGAAUGUUUAAAACUAUCUCUGUAUGUAUUUCAAAAAAUAAAAGGCUACUUAAAAUAUCCAAGUUAUCAGUUAUAAUUAUGCAAUAAUCUGUAUGUUGCUAUGUAAUUAUAAUGAUGAAAUUUGGCUCCAAUGGAUUGAGAAAAUGUGCCUCCCUCCUGUCUUUACAUAGGGAUAUGUAGUAUGUAAUAUUGCACAUACAUGAUUGGUGUGUUGGUGGGAUUUGCUGAAUUCUAUCUUUUUUUCUUUCUUUUGUCUUUUUUAUUCAUUGUAUUCAUUAGAAGGGCAAGUAGAAAAGGUAAAAAAAAAAAAGUGAGAAAUGAAAGUGAUGUAAAAAGAAGAGAUAUAAAUCAAAAGGUUAAAAACAAGAAGAGCAUGAUAAUAGUCUGAUUCCAUGAGAACAUUUUUCCUCUAUUGUUUUCCAAUCAAUGUUUUUGUAAGAAAUAACAUCAAAAGCAAAACAUAACUACAAAGAAGAUUCUAAACUGAAAAGGAAUUGAUAUAGUACAUAUUCUAGAAUUCCUAACCAGAGAGUUAUAAGACAUUUCCAUUUCAUUUUUUUAAACUGGUUUUUUUUUUUUUUUGGUAUGGGUGAGGGGAAGACUAGGAAGUCCCCUUUCCAGGUCCCAGGUAAUUGUGUAUUUCAUUACAGGUCUUCUGAGAACAACAUCCUACCUUUAUUAUUUAAUCCAUUAGUAACUCUAAUAUUGUCUCACAUUUUUACUUGAUGUGCGACCCUGACCAAGUCACUUAACCACUCUAUGCUUGUUUUCUCAUCAAAAAUGAGGGGAUUAGACUUAGUGGCAUCUAAGUUCCCUCCCAGGUUGAAAUCUAUGAUCCCAUGUUGAAAAUUGCAUUUUGAGAACUUCGAGUGGCCAAGGCAAAUAGAGAGGCAGUUGAGCUGGAAGCAUACAUAACGUUUUGGGGAACAGAAAGAAGGAAGAGCACAAUAAAGAGUGGUCAAAUCAAAUUAACAAGCAUUUAUUACAUGCUUGUUUAUAUGAUGGGCACUAUCCUAAGAGGAUCAAGCAAAAAAUUAGCCCUUUUCCUUCAAAAGCUUACAAUCUAAUGGGGGAACCUUCCAAUUAAAAGAGAGCUGAAAAUCUCUGUAUGGUUACCUGAAAAGCCUUCUUUGAUGGCCCCCUCCCUCUUGGACCUCAUAAAGAACAUGAUUUUUACUUUAUAAUUUAUGAGUGAAUAUUAUAAUUUUCUUUAUUUGGAUCUAUUCCCCUUACUAGACUAUAAGCUACAUGAGGGUAUGAACUGUUCCUUCCCCACCUUCCAACUAGGGCCAAUCAUAAGGCCCUCCAUUCAGUAAUUGUUUAAUCAAUGUUUAAAUGAAUGGAUGAAUACAGACAUGAGUGAAUCACAUGCAUUCUGGCCUUGACCAUUAUUAUUCAUAAUCGGAAAUAAUGACCCUUGCCUGGAGAAAUCUACAAUUCAAGAGAAUGCUUUUGACAAGCUCCCCAGAGUUCAUAUUACUCCCUGAGAGUUGGGCUCUGCCAACUUCUAAAUGGUGGCACAAAGAUGCUUUUGAGUUAUUUGAGUACAAAACUGAUUCAAAACAAAGUACUCCUCACAAACACAAAAUACGCCAUUUUCCUUCCAGCUGAGUUCAUUCAAAAGUGGCAAAGACUCUGCCAAAACUACAGAGAAGAACUUGGCAUUGGGCUGCAGUGAAAGCAUGACUCACAGGAAGCCAGAGAAUGGAAUUUCCUUUGUUGGAAAUUUGAAGCACCUGAAAAGGUUUGGGAAUACUUUGUUGGUGUUGUUCUGAUGUGACACUCUUGAUGACCCCAUUUGGAGUUUUCUUGGCAAAGACACUGGAAUAAUUUCCUAUUUCCUUCUUUAGUUAAUUUUACAGAUGAGGAGACCAAGGCAAACAGGAUUAAGUGACUUGCCUAGGAUCAUACAGCUAGAAAGUGUCUGGGACCACACAUGAAGUCAGAAAGAUGAGUCUUCCUGACUUUAGGUCCAAGAAUCUAUCCACUGCACUACCUAGGAAUACUUAGGUGUGUUUUUCCUUUAAAGCUACCUAGGAAAGAGUCUUAUGUAUAGCAAUGCUUCCAGCUGAAUGCUAUUCUAUGGUCACUCACUUUCCUGAUGGUGAGAUCAUAGGAUUUAGAAGUAGAAUUGGCCAGAGAAUCAGAGUAUUUUGGCAAUGGAUGGGGCCUUAGAAGGUAACUAAUCUGACUCACACUUGAACAAAAAUUCCCUCUUAUAGCAUACUUGAUGGAGGAAUCCAUUACCUCUCCAAGAUAACCCCUUGAAUUUUUGGAUAUUUCUAAUUGUUAUGAAGUUUUUCCUUUACAUCAAAUUUAGAUUUGCCCCUUUGCACUACUACCUGCUAUUCCAAGACAUGCUUCCAGUAGUCCAUAUCUUUUCAACAGAUCAGCCUUUCUGAUAUUUGAAAACACCUAUUGGGUUCUUGCUCUCCUCCCAUGUCUGUUUUUCUCAAGACCAAACACACUCCAUUCUUUGAAUAAUCCCCAUAAGGUGAGAUCUGGAAUCAACAUGGGUUGUCCUCAAAGAUAUGCUGGUAUAAGUUAAACAAUUGGCACUCUAGGGGAAAAAAAUUACAUGGCAUGCUUUUAAAUGAAAUCUCCAUUUAUUGACCACCUCAGCAUUACUUUAAGUACAGACAAUCAACAAAACAAUAAAUUAAGAAGUUGGGGAGGGGGGGUUCCCUUUAGGCAGAUAGGCUAUUUCCUCCCAUUUUACAUAUGAUGUAGUUGGAGCUUGGAGAAGUUAAAUGAAUCUCCAACAUCACAAAAUAAAUAAGAAGCAGAGUCUCCAUGGAGUAUACAGUAUAGAGGUGGAAACAAUAGUAAUAAACUUGUGAAACAAGAGUGAAUAAUACAAAAGAGAAUGUGAUGCUGUAAGGCUGGAUAAGUAUUACAAAAGUAUGCAGAAGGGAAAUCUAUAUAGAGAGAAGCAAAUGUCUGCAAUUAUCUGAGAGGUAUUUAGGAAUAUCAAGAAGUGGCUUGAGGAUGGUGUAAGUCAUUUGGUCACAGGAUCAUAGAUUUAGAGCUAAAAUGAACCUUAAAAGCUAUCUAGUCCAAAAUUUUUGUUGUAUAAGGAAAUCGAGACUCUGAAAGUUUAGGGAAAUUUCCCAUGAUGACACAUGGUAGUAGAUUUGAAAUCACCAAGUGAUUUGAGUCUAAAUCUUGGCUCGAUUCUUUACUAGUUGUGCGGCUUGUAUGACCAUAUCACUUAAUCUCUCUAAAUCUCAGUUUCCUUACUUAUAAGAUGGGGAUAGUAUCAGUUGAACUACUACUACUUCACAGUGGAUAGAGGGAGAGGCUUGCUUUAUAAAAUAAGUUUUAAAAUAUUAUUAAUAUUAUUUAGGAGCCAAAUGGGCGAUGACCAAAAAAUAGAGUCCAUGUAAGUAAAGAAAUAUUGUACUAUAAGAAUCAAUGACUAUAAGAAAUACAAAGAAGUAUGCAAAGGUUUAAUAUGAACUGAUGCAAAGUAAAGUAAGCAGUACUGGAAAGAUAGUAAACAUAGUUGCCAUGAUGUAAAUGGAAAAAACAACAACAAAGUAAUGAAAUAGCCUCGUGUAAUAAUAACCAAGUUUGGACCAGGAAAAGAGAAAAUGCAUCUCAUACAUUUCUUUGUAGAAAUGGGAGGCUAUGGUGUAAAACAUACCAUAGACCAUCAAGCCUGGUUGAUAUGUUGAUUAGUUUUGUUGAACUACUUUCCCCUUCCUUAAAAAAAUUCUUUAUUACAAGAAAUCUCUCUUGGAGGGAUAUAUUUGAAAAUGAAGAUGAUAUAAAAUAGAAAUUUUUUUUUUAUUUAAUAGCCUUUUAUUUACAGGAUAUAUGCAUGGGUAACUUUACAGCAUUAACAAUUGCCAAACCUCUUGUUCCAAUUUUUCACCUCUUACCCCCCCACCCCCUCCCCUAGAUGGCAGGAUGACCAGUAGAUGUUAAAUAUAUUAAAAUAUAAAUUAGAUACACAAUAAGUAUACAUGACCAAAACGUUAAAAUAGAAAAUUAUUAAUAAAAUGUUUUAAAUAUUAUUUAAAAGCUUAGAAGGAAUCAGCAAUAAAGCAGUUGCUUCUUGGAUUUUUCUUUUUAGAAGGAGCAUGCCUAAGGAUACAGGAAGCAGAACACUGAGAAUCUUGGGGAACUAGGCACAUUGAAAUAAUCUAUAAAGAUGGAGGACUUGGGAUAAAAGGGAAGUCACCAACCUUGUCUGUAUACAUAUGCUAAGAAGCUAAGUCAAAAUCUAGACCUUGCUUUUAUCAGAUCAAAAGAAAAGAAUGGAGCCUAUUUUGAAAUAGAAUGUGUAUUCCCCAUCAUUAUUCCUCAUACACUUUAUUUAGCUGGUAGAUCUCUACAUCUAAUGCUUCCCAUUUUCCUUUUGCCAAUGAAAUCCCAGAGAGACAGGGUAAAGCCAGGAGGUGUCCGAGUCCUUCUUUUCCUCUGGUACAGGAGAUAAUUAUAUCUAGAGCCUUUGGGGUUUUAGUUCCCAAGAAAAGCUAAUGGAAGAUAGAAAAACAAAGUGGGAGAAAUCAGAACUCUAGAUCUUUAAUAAGCCCAAGUAAAGUUGAGAAAUUGGCACAAGAGAGACUUCUUGCAAAUAACAAAAUGCAAAUUAAGCUGGGAGAAAAAAAAUUAGGUAACCUAGACUUGGAAAUAUUCAGUACAUUUGAAAUACUGCCACAGAAAAAAAACUUGGCUGCUUUAAGAAAAAGUUUACACCCUGUGCUCAGAAAGCCACAUCUUUUCAGUGCAGAGAGAAAUAAAUGCUCCUACUCAAGAGAUUGAACUGAUAUUUUUUGUUGAUUAAUAUCUGAAAUUCAAUUGAUGCUAAAGACAAAUAGGGAACAGGAUGCCUUCCUAUUCCUAUUCCUAUCCCCAUUUUGCAGAUGAGAAAACUAAGAAUCAUGGAGAUGAAGAAACUUGUUUCAGGUCAUACGCACAAUAAGGGUCAGAGUCCAGUCUCAAAGGUAUACAUUUGACGUCCUAGGGGAAACUUCUAGGCAUAAAUGACUAGGGGAUAAAGGGACUGCAUUCUAAGGUGACAGUCACUUUAUUAACUGCCGAGUUUAUAAUUCAGUAGAGCACUGAAAAAAGAUAUUGAAGCUCAUAUAUCUGCAACUCUAUAGGUAAUACCAUGUGAUUCCAGUAAGUGGAGAGAAAGGACAGAUUAUCUACCCAAUAUUAUGGUGGUCCCAUUGCCAUUUCCCACACAGAAUAUGGAGUCAACCAGGGAAGCUUGGCACCAGGUCCUUGGGCACCUUUGCCUCUUUAGAGUUUUCUUUUUCUCUUGAUUUUAAGCAAACAAAUAUCUCAAAGACUUAGUGAGGUCAAAAGGUACAAAGGGCCCACUAGAUAUCCCACUGGUGAUUGGAGCUGAUGCAGCCGAUGUCCACAUUACCAAGAACCUGAUGAUUCUACAAUGCAGUGUCCAGAUGAAGUUUUUUUUUUAAUGCCUAAUUAGAAGUUUUUCUUUAUGAUCCUGAUAGAUUUAAGUAUUAGGCUUUCAGCAGAUGAUACCAAUAGUUAUAAGUUAAAAUACAAAAUCCUGUUCUGCUAAUGUAUGGUAGUAAGGUUUGGGUUUUUGUGCAUAUCUGAGGUAAAGUAAGAGAGUAGAUCAUGACUUUUUUAUUGUUGUUUGCUUGCUUUUUUCUUAUUUUUUUUUCCUUUUUGAUCUGAUUUUUCUUGUACAGCCUGAUAAAUGUGGAAAUAUAUUUAGAAGUGUAUGUUUAACCAACAUUGGAUUAUUUGCUAUUUAGGGAAGAGGGAUUGAAGGAAGGGAGGGAGAACAAUUUGAAUAACAAGGUUUUGCAAGAGUGAUUGUUGAAAACUAUCUUUGCACAUAUUUUGAAAAUAUAAAGCUAUUAUUAAAAAAUUUUUUAAGUAAAAAUAAAUAAAUAAGACAGUAGGUCAUGGAAGUUGAGUAGACUUCGCUAACUGGUAUCUAGCUAUAGAUUUAGAAACUGGAAAGGGAGGUAAUUUGUGGUAACAUGAACAUGUAUGUUGAAGUUCCCUUUAAAGAGAAAGUUGAGGUGGAGAGGAAGACUAUAAAAGCCAAGCACUGAAUUCAUUGAAAGAAUAGUGACAAUGUCCUGGUUGGUCAGUAAAAGGAUAUUUAGAUGUAAGAAUCUAAACUGAUCAACAAAUUUAGAAAGUCACCAGCUGCAGAGUCAUGUCACUAGAAGAAGAUUCCAUGGUGGCCAUGGAGAUCAAGUAAUAUCUGAUUGCCCCUGGUUCUAGAGUAACCAGCCCAGGAAAGGGUGGUCAAGGAUGCAGUAUCAUCAGAAGGGAACAAGACCUUAAUGAGUAUCAGAAGAUGGGGAAAAAAAUGAGAAAAGAAGAGGUUUAAGGGGAGGAAAAGCAUGUUAAUUAUGAGGCAAGCAUUCCAGAGUAAACAAUAAAGGAGCUGGCAGAGCUGGAGCAGGAGAUUGAUGAGAUAUAAUUAUGGGGCAAACAUAUUAGGGUGAACAGUAAAGUAGCUGGCAGAGCUGGAGUAGAAUGUUGGUGAGAUAUAGUUAAAGAGAUUAUUUGUUGUCUUGGAGAAUGGAAAAGAGAGGGAUGUAGAGAGUAAAAAUUUGGAACACAAAAUCUUACAAAAAUGAAUAUUGAAAAUUAUCUUUACACAUAUUUGGAAAAAUAAAAUACUGUUGAGAAAAAGUUAAAGAGAAUGAUAAUGAGGUAACAGACAGAUGAGGAUGGGGAGGAAGGUUUAUUCUUAGGCAGCUUAAUAGGUCAGUAUCAAAGGCAUAGUAAGGGAAGGAGGUAAAAGUAUGCUAACCAUAGAAGAAUGAAUCCAGAAAGAAUAACAUGAAGAUCUGCUGAUGAAGACGGGUGAUUAGAAAGGUUGCUGUUCAUUAUUUUAUGCCAGAAUAGGACUCAAAACACCUGAUUUGCCUGACUGCUAUGAACUGGGCAGCAUUAGGAUCUUUGGGACACAGAAAGAUGGCUUUUCACCUUCCUUGUGCCCUUAAGUCAUCAGAAACCUCGAAGGAGACUAAGAUUGGUUUGUUCUGAUCCCUCCUCAUCAGACAAGAAAAAGAUCUGGCUAAGGCAAUGACUACCAAUCAGACUCAGAUGCACAAUAUUAAUAACUGUGUCAUUUAUUUCAUUUUCCUAGAGAGAAAGAACAAAAAUCAUUUUGGGGAGGAAGAAACCUCUAAAAACUCAAGUAAGUUGAUAGGAUCCAAGAUUUAGAGCAGGAAAAUACCUUGGAAAUAUUUUAUUCCAAUCUCCCUCACUUUUCACAUGAGAAAAUUGAUGAUCAGAAAAGUUAAAUGAUUUACCUGAAGUAACUCAUUAAGUGGCAUAGCUGAGAUUUAAAAACAAGUCUUCAGACUCCAUUGCUCUUUCGAACACAACAUACUACCUCUCACAUAUUUUGCUCAUCCUUUUAUCUCUCUCCACUCCACCCCUAAAUUAACCUUUGAAAAAGUUUUGGUCACUAGACCAUGAGCAAGUAAGAAACUAAAUCAAACCUGGAAAUAGAAUCUCAUUCUUGCUCUAGAAUGGGAUAAUUACAGGCUUCUUUUCAACAAAGAUCAAGAGAGGCAUGAAGUGAAGAGAUGGACAAGAUGUUCACUGAAGUUCCUUUUAAUUCUAAUUACGUUCUAAUGAGGGAGAUCAUAUAUAAAUAAAUCUUUUUGAAAAAAUGUUUGUUAAUAUGUCAUAAUGUAUAAAGAGUAGGCCAAGAAGAAGUGGAUCUCCACUUCUGACAUAUAUUGGCUAUUUCUGACUUGAAUUGGUUAGAAAAGGUUUCCUUACUUGAGAGUUCUUUACUACUAAAAUCAUAAGUCCAUAAGUUAAAAAUCUUUUGUUUUCACAUAACCAUCAUUUCUGAAUAUGCCCCUUCCUCUCCCCCUACCUAAGAAGGGUUUUUAUAGAAAAAGAUGCAGAAAAAGGGGUAAAGUUCUAAUUUGUAUACUUAUAUCUCCAACCCAAAAAUUGAGUGAGAAGAAAAAAAAAGGUUAAAGAAAAACAUUUGUGAAGCUUGGAUUUUGCAUUAAACUAUCAUAAACACAUAACAGGGCUAUAUAUUGGGUCAAUUACAAAUUAGAUAUUUAAUCUGUCCCUUUCCCCCUAUUAAAACAUAUAUCUCAGAUAUUUUUAUAGCCACUUAUGGAUGUUUUUGGAUGACUGUCUGCUGUGUCCCCCGAGUUUAUUCCAAUUGAAAAAAAACACAUAUACAAAGUCACAUGUAACCUACUGUGGCUAGAGAAAUACCUACUAAUAGUACCCACUCAUAAACAGUCUCAUACUGACAAACUCUCAUGCCACUGUAAACAAAGUGUUCAGGCAAAGGUUAGAAAAUAUGAAAGCUUUCUGUGUAUACUUUUUUUAUAUAAUGCAUGAGAUGUCUAUUAAAAACAAGGCAUAUUUCCAUUAAAGAUAUUACUAACCAGCUAGACUCCACAACUUCAGCCAUUGUGAAAGGGACAUAAUAGGGAUAGAUUAACCUCAGCUCUGCUCUAAGUUCACAUCCAAUUAUCACAGGUAUUAUUUUCUCAAUAAAAUUGAGAUGGGAUCCUCUAAACAAAGAGUACCUUCUGAAAUUAUUGUAUACAAAAGAUAAUCCAUCAUCCUUCCAUAAGGAAGCUGAUUGUUUUCCUGAGAAAAAGAAAUUAGGUUAUCUCUGAGAAUGGAAGACCCACUUACCAAUAAUAUAAACUCCUUGAAGGCAAAGAUUGUUUUGUUUUGGUGUAGUACUUGAGCACUCUAAUACAUGCACACAUACAUGUACGCUAGCAACAGCAAAAGAUAAGCUACACAAAGUUUGAGAUAUUUUAUUGAUACAUUUCCACUCACAAAACACAAUUUAUAAGCCUGCAAUAAAAAGCCAUCCAGAGAAUACAAUUUGUUCAAAGAAAAGGUAUUUAAUGAUUAAGCAUAAAAUGUUGGACAUGUCCUCCAACAAAUAGACACACCCUCAGUGAAAAGAAUAGAUAUGUGUAAGGAACACUUCAAGAGUAUGGUUGACAUGGCAUAGAAGGGCAACUUGCACUAUCAUUAUGCUAUCAUUAUUGAUAGGGUUAUCAUUAUGAUAGUGGUCAUAUGUUGCAUGUAAUUUCUUCUGAAUGUUGCCAUCUGCAUGUUUCAUGAACCUACGUACAGAUCCUAUGGUAUUGUUAUUGUAGCCAUGGACUGUUUCUUUUUUUCCAACUUGUGACUUCAGUUGGAAUCUUGUCCGAAAUUUCUUUUAGCUGAAAUCCCAAAUAUUUCAAUUUCAGUUUUUUAAAGAGGUAGGUCUUUCAGACACACAUUACCAGAUAAGAGAAAAAUCAACUGCUUUUCUCUCCAUAAGGAGGAGAUCUGUUGAUUCUCAUAAUUUUUGCCUGUAGCAACCAAGUUUCUUUGAAACAGAGAACAACCAAUCAGUCAUCUGAGUCCACAGGCUUUUAUUCUGUCUGAACCUACUAUGUCUGGGGCUAAAUCACAUUUAUUAUCCCUGACAACUAUCUAAUUUAAAGUUAAAAAUUCUUUGUAACUCCUGCCUAAUUUCCUUAUAAAGAGGCAAUACCAAGAAACUAUUUUGGGAGGGAGACAUGAAAAAAUGUGGUCUGAGACACUUAAGCCUUUAUUUCAUCAGAAGAUUCUUUUAGUCUUUCACAAAUGAAAGGGGGAAAGUUUAAAAAAAAAAAAAAGUACAUCUAUGGUAAAGCCACUGUUAUCUACCUCAAUACUUUGUUUCAAACUUCAGCCUUUAUUGAGUAUUAUAUGAAAUAUUGGAUUAUGUGACCACUGAAAUUCUUUCCCAUUCUAAGAUAUUAUAAUUUGUUCUAUCUUUCCGUUAAAAAAAAAAAAGUACAAAGUGAUAAAUGAGUGUGUUGGUAUAGUAAAGAUUUGACAUGUAUAAGCAGGAUGUGUAUGGUGAAGACCACUUUAUGUCCUUUAUAAUUUGCUCUACCCCAAAUCCUGUGAAGCACGGCACUCCAAAAACUAAUAUAUGUUCUAUCCAUAAAACUAGAACAAUGCGUAAAACCAUCAGAUAGCUACAAAGAUUACAUGUCCUGAAUAUCUUUCACAAUCUUUCUCCAAGAAACUUCAAGAAUUUUGUAAGUACCCUUCUAUAUCUAGUUUAUCCUAGGGAGGAAAAGCUCAAGGAAGUAGUCAAGUACAAAGGACUUUUAAAAAUAGAGAAACCAAAACAUUGGUCAUGAAAAGUACUUUCUAACCAUCUAGACCCAAAUCCUAGCAUUUCUAAUUCUGAAUUCAGUUCUGCAGCUGGCCCACGAAAACAGCUUCUAUUAGUGGAUACUUAGAAUCAAAAUCAUUCCCUAACCCUACAUUGGGUUACCAGCUGCAUAGUGAUUGGAUUCUGAAGAAGAGAGAAUAUAGUUAACAAAUAUAAGGAAGUACAACAAAUAACCCUAUUCUCUAUUACUUCUCCAUUUCUCCUGUCUAUACUUGCUCACUACAUAUUUGUUUUCUAAUUCUCACUACAGGCCACCUUCUCCUUCACAUUGCAAAAGAGACACCUGGUCAUCUCCCCCACAACUAUUUUUGAAUAUUCACUGUAAACAAAUUUCAUUUAUAAACUGUUAACACAACCAGUAGUAAUAAAGUCAGAUAUUCUGGUUCUCUAGUAUCAUUAGGAAUGGGUCUCAUCAGUGCUCAAGAGGGAAAAGCUAUGAUUAAGGACCUUGAUGAAUUGAUAAGCUAAAUUCCUUACUACUUAACAUCUUCCACAAAAAAAGUUUCAGUUUAUCUCUACUCUUUGGAUGCUAGAUUCUGGUAGUGAAUUUUUGUCUUAUCUUGCUCAGAACCAGGUUCUCAUAUUACUUUCCUGACACCAUUUCCAACCAUGUCAUAUGUGGACCUCUUUCCCUACUCUACUUGUUUCAUUGUCUAUUACAACAUAAGUACUUUGUAAUCCAUGUUUAGCACAGUGUCUGGCAUAUAAUAAUUGCUUAAUAAAUACUCAUCUUUUUAUCUCUGACCAUGGAUAAAUUGCCUACACUGAUUUACAGACCGUAGGGCUAGAAGUCAAAUAGGUACAAAGUCAGGCCACACAAAAAUUUAAUUCACUAUUGAUGGAUAGAGUACUGGGCUUAUAGUCAAGAAAUGACAAACCACUCCAAUAUCUUUGAAAAAAACAAACCCAGAUGGGAUUACAAAGAAUCAGACAUGAAAUGACUGAACAACAAAUUGUAUUUUUAUUUAUUUUGUUAACUACUUCCAUCUGAGAUGCCAUCCACAUUUUGAGAGAGAACUAUGGAAACUGAAUGUGGAUGCAAAGCAUAGUACUUCUACCUUUGUUUAAUUAUUUGCUUUUUCUUUCUCGUGGUUUUUUCCCCUUUUGGUCUGAUUUUUCUUGCACAACAUGACAAAUACAGAAAUAUGCUUAAAAGGAUUGUACAUGUUUAACCUAUAUCAGAUUGCUUGCUGUCUUGGGGAAGAGAAAAGUAAGGGGGGAGGGGUAAACGAUUAUUGCUCUUGAGACUGUUACCUAAAAUUUAGGCUCUUCCAAAUCUAAAUUCCAUUAACCUAAAUAUUACUGGAAGAACAAAGAGAUUUAGCUGACAUUAUACUUUUGUGUGAAUUAGCUUUUCUUAAUGUCCUUUCUAAACACCACUAAGCUUGGAGUAGGUAGAUAUAGGAGUCCAGAGCCACAGGUUGGCAUGCCUGGGGAUGAGUCUUAAUAGUCAGAGGGAAUGAUGUUAAGAAUGGGAAGGAAGAUAGGAGGGAAGAUGGAGUAAUGAAGUGCUUAAUCACAAUUUGAUUACAGAUCAGCUAUCCAGUCUUAAAUUGUACUUUUCAAUACUUUGGACACAUUUUCCUGUACUCAAUCCGUAGGAGCAAUGGCAUGAAAGGGAUGUAAGGGAGUCAACACCUUGGCUACUCCACUAUAUUCAUUCUUUGGCUAGAACUGUUUUUAAUAAAUUGCUGGAUUUUUCCUUUCUCCUCCCCUCUUGCUUUGGACUUUUCCUCACUGGAAAACAUGCUGUCAAUCACCCAUGCCCACAGUGUUCUGUGCCUCUAACCAGAGCCUACUGCUGGCUCAGGGCUCAGUGCUGGCUGUUUGCACUUUCCAGUCAACCUCUCACUUUUCCACAGUGAACUGUCCAGCAUCCAAGCCAAACACCAAUCUCAGUGUUGUUGUCUCUCUUCAGACCUUUUCACACUGCUGCUCUAACAGUUGAGAGCAAAAUCUAGGGAUAGCUAAGUAAGCAGUAGCUUAGACAAAAACAUGCCUGGAGGGUUAGAGGAGGAGACAUGUAAAGUAUAUAUAUGAAGAGAUAAUUUUAUUUUUCUAAAAUGUAUAUUGAUAUAUUUAGUUUUUACCACAUCUCUACUUCUAAUUUUUUCCUUUUCCUUCUAUUCCUUAGAGAGCCAGUUUUUGUAAGAAAAUGAAAAGGAAGAGGAAGAUGAAGUUGGAGGGUGGGGGGGAAGAAAAGUCAGCAAAGCCAACCAAACAUAUCAACCAAGUCUGACAGUAUGAGCAAUAUAUGCUUUACAUCCAUAGUCUCCCACUUUCAAAAAAUAAGAUAGAUGCAAUCAAGAAAUACCUUUUUAUAUUAUAUAUUUAUAAAUGUACAUAUUUUUAAGCUAGAAAAUUCUGUCUUUGAGAUAUGAUAGAUAUCUGCCUUGAGUUAAGUCACAUAUUUUAUGGUGAAAGUUUAAGGACCACAUUGGAGACUUACACAAAAAAAGGGAUCAAUUUUCAAAUGGAGGUGAAAGUGACAAAGGGAUAUAAUUUUGAAAUCUUGCCUACACAAAUACCUUGUCUUAAAUAAGGUUAAAAGGUCUCUAGGGUAAAAAAUGAUAUUCCUAUAUUAGAGCAUUAUUGGUAGAGCUGUGCAAUAUAACUAAUUUGAAAUUAUACAAAUAAAGUGACUAAAAUAUCCAUAUGUUUUGACCCACAGAUUCCACUCUAGGCUCCCAAUCAGAUGAAUAAGAAAAAUUCUCCAUACACACCAGUAAAGCAUAUUUAUAACAGUAUUUUUUUAAUAACAAAGAAUUAGAAACAAAGUAGAUGACCAUCAAUUGGGAAAUGACUGAACUGUGGUACACGAAUAUAAUGGAAUUACAUUUUUACUCUGCUAUAAGAAACAAUAAAUAUAAAGAAUAUAGAGAGUAAUCAAAGAGAACUGAAAUGUAGUAAAGUAAAUAAAACCAAGAAAACAAUAUAUACAAGGACUACAACAAUGUAAAAGGAAAUAAUAAUCACAAAACAAAAACAAAUCAAUGACACAAAAUUACAAAAAACUAACAAACCACAAACCAAGCAUGGCUACAAAGAAGAAAUAUAUGAAGACAGUCCCCACUGAACUCUUUGCAGAGGUAAGAACUCCACAAGUAUGGUGUAUUAAGCAUAUUUUUAGAUCUUUUCAAUAUAUUGGUCAGCUUUGCUGAUUUUCCCCCUUCUAUUUAAAAUUUGCAAAUAUUAUUGUGUUGACUGGUUCUCUAGGAGGGAGAAGGAAUAGGAAUACUAGGGAAAAUAUUAGUGUUAUAAAAAGAAAUUAAUAAUAUUUUACUUAAAAAGAAAAAAUAUCUGAGAACAAAUUCAGGUAUAGGUUUCCUUGUUAGGUUUACCCUCUAGUUCUUCUAAGGAUCUUCCAUGGAAAAUCAUACUUGGCUGAUCUCAAGGACUUUAAAAUCCCAAGACCACUAAAAGACUGCAUAUGACCUUGUCUCUAGGUAUUUCAGAGGUUGAUAUAAAGUCCUCAGGAUAAUGAUUCAGUGUUUCAGUUACAAAAUAAGUAUUUUCAGGGGGUUUGAGGUAUACCUUUAAGUAAACCCUUUAAAGAGUGAGGCUAGAAAAACCUAGAUGACACUAUCAAAAACAAAAGUGGAGGGGGAAGGAAGGAAGGGUCAGAAAAACCUUGGAUUGGGAGUCACAAAACUAAAAAUGAAUAAAUUAUUUCCUCCUUUCAGGUUUCUCUUUCCUCUCCUACAAAAUGAGAGGAUUGGACAAGAUACUCUCAAAUCCCUUCCAACUCAGUGGAUGUGGAAAAACUGGGACAUUGAUGCAUUAUUGGCGGAGUUGUGAAUGAAUCCAAUCAUUCUGGAGAGCAAUCUGGAAUUAUGCCCAAAAAGUUAUCAAAUUGUGCAUACCCUUUGAUCCAGCAGUGCUACUACUGGGCUUAUACCUCAAAGAGAUACUAAAGAAGGGAAAGGGACCUGUAUGUGCAAGAAUGUUUGUGGUGGCUAGAAACUGGAAAAUGAAUGGAUGCCCAUCAAUUGGAGAAUGGUUGGGUAAAUUGUGGUAUAUGAAUGUUAUGGAAUAUUAUUGUUCUGUAAGAAAUGACAAGCAGUAUAAAAUAAAUCCACAUAAGCCAUCAGCACUCUUAUAGAUCACUAACAAAAUCCACCAGUCACAGUUACAAAGAGAAAUUCUAUUUAAAGUAACUACUGAUAAUAUAAAAUAUUUAGGAAUCUAUCUGCCAAGGGAAAAUCAGAAACUUUAUGAUAAAAAUUAAGACCACUUUUCAACAAAUUAAGUCUGAUCUAACCAAUUGAAAAUAUUAAAUGCUCUUGGAUAGGGCGAGCAAAUACAAUAAAGAUGAAAUAUUAAUUUAAACUAAUCUAUUUAUUUAGCGCCAUACCAAUCAGACU
ensembl:lncRNA